rnacentral:rRNA from 1 species
GACGAACGCUGGCGGCGUGCCUAAUACAUGCAAGUUGAGCGCUGAAGGUUGGUACUUGUACCAACUGGAUGAGCAGCGAACGGGUGAGUAACGCGUGGGGAAUCUGCCUUUGAGCGGGGGACAACAUUUGGAAACGAAUGCUAAUACCGCAUAAAAACUUUAAACACAAGUUUUAAGUUUGAAAGAUGCAAUUGCAUCACUCAAAGAUGAUCCCGCGUUGUAUUAGCUAGUUGGUGAGGUAAAGGCUCACCAAGGCGAUGAUACAUAGCCGACCUGAGAGGGUGAUCGGCCACAUUGGGACUGAGACACGGCCCAAACUCCUACGGGAGGCAGCAGUAGGGAAUCUUCGGCAAUGGACGUAAGUCUGACCGAGCAACGCCGCGUGAGUGAAGAAGGUUUUCGGAUCGUAAAACUCUGUUGGUAGAGAAGAACGUUGGUGAGAGUGGAAAGCUCAUCAAGUGACGGUAACUACCCAGAAAGGGACGGCUAACUACGUG